rnacentral:rRNA from 1 species
AUGUUAGCAAUUUCAGCAGCAGCUCUGGGUGGAAAGGAUGAUGUCUCAGUCAGAACAAUGCAACUCAAGGUUCAGUUGCAAGGCCUAAAUCUCACAGUUCUUGUUGACUCAGGGAGUACACACUCAUUUCUGGAUACUUCUCUAGCUUCUAAACUGCAAGAUCUGUCUCCAUUACAAAGGGUUUCAGUUAAAAUGGCCAAUGGAGCCACAGUUUCCUGUCAUCAGCAGUUACUGAGUGGAAUGUGGUCUUGUUCUGGACACAAGUUUAGCUGCGAUUUCAAAUUGUUUCCUCUGGGUAGUUAUGAUGGCAUAAUUGGGCUUGAUUGGCUGUCAGCACAUAGCCCUAUGCUAGUCGACUGGGAAAACCAUUGGUUAUCAUUUUCUCAUAUGGGAUCUGAGAUCACUCUCCUGGGUUCAGCAGCAACUCUUCCUCAAAUAGCUAUGCUACACUUCUGUUCCCUGCUCACUACCGAGAACCUCCCAAUUCUUCCUGAAGUGCAAUCUGUUUUGGAUCAAUUCAAGGAAGUUUUUGAACCUCCUACUGGUCUCCCACCCAGACGUGCCUAUGAUCACACUAUCCCACUUAUACCCGGUGCCGCACCAGUGGCAUUGCGUCCUUACCGCAUUGCUCCAGCUCUGAAAACAGAACUUGAACGACAAAUCCAGGACAUGCUUGCUAGUGGGGUCAUUAGACCUAGUAACAACCCCUUUUCUUCUCCUCUUUUGAUGGUCAAAAAGAAGGAUGAAUCCUGGCGACCAGUCAUCGACUACCGUCACCUCAAUGCCAUUACAGUUAAAGGGAAAUUUCCUAUACGUGUCAUCGAUGAGCUGCUCGAUGAAUUGGGAGGGGCUGGGUGGUUUACUAAGCUUGAUCUGAGGUCAGGGUACCACCACAUACGAUUAGCUCCUGGCGAGGAGUACAAAACAGCCUUCCAGACACACCUUGGUCACUACGAGUUCUUGGUGGUUUCUUUUGGCCUGACUGGAGGUCCAAACACUUUUCAGUUUGCCAUGAAUCACACCCUAGCUCCUGGGAACCGUAAGUAUGUUAUCGUUUUCUUUGAUGACAUUUUGGUGUUCAGCAUUACUUUCAAGGAGCAUUUGCAACAUCUGAGGUUGGUCCUGUCAAUGCUUGCUAAACACCAGUGGAAAGUCAAAUUGUCCAAAUGUGCAUUCGCUCAAAGGCAAGUUGGAUAUCUGGGUCACAUAAUCAGCUCUGCAGGUGUGUCCACUGAUCCCACCAAGAUUACAGCAAUUGACACCUGGCCUACACCAGCUAAUGUCAAAGAAGUCCGUGGUUUCCUUGGCCUAGCAGGAUACUACAGAAAAUUUAUCUGCCACUACGGAAUCAUUUGUCGCUCGCUCACUAACCUGUUGAAGAAAGGAACAGUGUUUCGUUGGUCUGACAUUGAAGAUUCUGCCUUCCGUACCCUCAAACAAGCUCUGGUAACAGCACCAGUACUUGCUCUGCCAGACUUUAACAAAACUUUUGUGAUAGCUACAGAUGCUUGUGAUGUGGGCAUUGGUGCAGUGCUGAUGCAAGACGACCAUCCUCUCGCGUAUGUUAGCAAAGCUUUGGGUCCACGAAAUCGAGCACUCUCAGUCUAUGAAAAGGAGUUUCUGGCCAUUCUCUUAGCUGUUGAACACUGGCGUCAGUAUCUGCUAUUCAGUGAGUUCAUUAUACAGACAAAUCAGCGCAGCUUAACUAGCCUAUCAGAUCAACGUUUGCACACCCCUUGGCAGCAAAAGGCGCUGACAAAGCUUAUGGGGCUACGUUACACCAUACAGUAUCGCAAGGGAUCUGACAACAAUGCGGCAGACGCUCUGUCUCGCAGACCACACACUACAGUUGAACUCCAGGCAGUGUCCAGUGCUUGUCCAGCUUGGUUUCCGGAUAUUGUUGCGAGUUAUCAGAAUGAUGCAGUUGCCCUUAAGCGCCUCAAAGAGUUAUCUGAAGGUUCACCAGCAGACAGCAAGUUUUCAUUGAAAAAUGGUCUGCUAUGCACUGAUGGCUGCAUUUGGGUGGGUGCCGACAGCGAGCUACAGAACAAAAUCGUCGAUGCAUUCCACAGCUCGCCUCUCGGGGGGCAUUCUGGAUUUCCGGUUACAUAUAAACGUAUUCGUCUGCUUUUCCGUUGGACUGGUAUGAAAGCAUUCAUCAAACAGGUGAUCCAGUGCCGUCUUGUCUGUCAACAAGCAAAACCGGAGCGAGUACCAUACCCCGGUCUGCUCCAACCACUACCAGUGCCUAAUCUCCCAUGGGAAAUGGUUACUAUGGAUUUCAUCGAAGGGUUGCCUCAAUCAGGACGUUAUAACUGCAUCUUAGUAGUGAUCGACAAGUUGUCCAAAUACGGCCAUUUCAUACCACUUCACCAUCCAUUCACAGUACAGACAGUCGCUGAAGCCUUCCUGGACUCAGUAUACAAGCUUCACGGGAUGCCAUUAUCAAUAGUGUCCGAUCGUGAUCGUAUCUUCACCAGCCAGUUUUGGAAGGAAAUGUUCCAACAUGUUCAAGGUACACAACUGAGGAUGAGUUCAGCUCGUCACCCGCAAACUGACGGACAGACUGAAAGGGUCAAUCAACAAAUUGAAUGCUACCUCCGUUGCUUUGUAAGUACUCAUCCUUCCAAGUGGUCUAAAUGGCUUUCUCUCUGUGAAUAUUGGUACAAUACCAACUGGCAUUCAGCCACUGCAAAGAGUCCUUUUGAAAUUAUCUAUGGCCACUCUCCUCGACAUUUUGGCAUCGCUCCAGACUGUACCAUCGCUUCCUCUGAUCUAUCCCAGUGGUUGGAACAAAGACAAGUGAUUUUUGCUUCAGUAAAACAGCAACUUCUUCGGGCUCAGCAGAGGAUGAAAGCGCAGUCUGAUAAACACAGAACUGAGAGAAGUUUUUCGAUGGGUGAUCAAGUUUUUCUCAAGUUGCAGCCAUACAUACAGGAGUCUGUAGCCCCGCGUGCUAAUCAUAAGCUGGCUUAUAAGUUUUUUGGCCCUUACACCAUCUUGGAACGAGUGGGUGAAGUUGCCUACCGCCUGGACCUUCCAAAUACCAGUAAAGUGCAUCCGGUAUUCCAUGUCUCUCUCCUUCGGAAGGUACUCAAACCAACCCAACAAGUUCUUCCUUGUCUCCCCUCUCCGGAAUCUGCAGUGCAAGUACCUGAGAAGAUACUACAGAAGCGCGUGAUUCAUCGCAAUGACAAGAAGCUAGUCCAAGUGCUCCUUCAGUGGUCUGGAGAUCCAGUUGAUCUAGCCACUUGGGAAGACUUCGAAGCCAUCAAGCAAAAGUUCCCGCGCGCGCCGGCUUGGGGACAAGCCGUUUCUCAUCAAGGGGGGAUUGUCAGCGACAAGGAACAGGGCACGCAGGAGGUGGCAUCAAAUCCAAGGACUCGGCCCAUCCGCAAGCCUCGCCUACCGUCUCGGCUAGCUGGGCCUGAGUGGGCUUUAGGCCGCAUAGAUAUAUAA